UACAGAGGUCCCGAGCGUUGUUCGGAUUCAUUGGGCGUAAAGGGUGCGUAGGCGGCGGGGCAAGUCUGACGUGAAAUCCCGGGGCUCAACCCCGGAACUGCAUUGGAUACUGCCUUGCUAGAGUACUGGAGAGGGAACUGGAAUUUACGGUGUAGCAGUGAAAUGCGUAGAGAUCGUAAGGAAGGCCAGUGGCGAAGGCGAGUUCCUGGACAGUUACUGACGCUGAGGCACGAAGGCCAGGGGAGCAAACGGG
rnacentral:rRNA from 1 species